GACAAGAACAGAAAACAUUUUCAGCAUGGAGAGCAGUACUGCACAGAUGCACACAGACUCUCGCUCCACAGUGCAGAAUGUAACUAAUGAUACUGGGGUUGCUUCCCACACGGCUGUAGCAGGAUGAAGGUCUUUCAAAUGAAAAACAGAUAUUCUUCCAUAGCUGACAGAAUUAAUUCCAUUAUGGAAACUACUGUAAUCAUGAAGGGCGCAAGCCUGCGUGCACACACAAAAACACAACCAUGCAAACACACCCACUUAAAGAAAUAACAGCAUGAGUAUGUAUAUACAAGUUAAGUUUGCAAACAAGUCAGUAAUGUAGGUUAAUUCUCAUUAUUACAGAGCGAGCACUAACCCACAGAUCAAUUUGCAUGUUUAAAUACCAUUUACACCCCUCGGGGAAGACAAAUUUACUCCACUCAGGUCUUCUAUACGUCACAAUCCAGCAGGUGAAUAACCUGUUUCUGUAUGAACCAUAUGGAUGUGUGGGAGGUGACACAGUAUUCACAGUGUGUUAUUGUAAUCAAUAUUUAUUAUAUAUGCUGGCUCAAUGUGGCAUGAAUGGGUUAUACACAGUGGAAUUAGAGGCAGAGAGGUAAACCCUGUGUUUUCCUGCUCCUGCAGGGUCACUACCACAGGCUGUGUGUACAUAGUGAAUGUGUACAUACAUAUCCAAGGCUCAUUAGUUUUAGUUCUUAAUAAAUAAAUAAAAAUCUGUUAAUUUAUCUUUUUAGUUUAAAUGACAGGUGAAUUUAUAAAAACCAAUAAGACAAAUAGCCAGGUGAAAAUAUAUAAAAAUACAAUUUUAAGUGCAAACUCUAGUUUAACACUUUGUUUUUCUUGUUACCUUGAGGAAAUCUGGUGCAUAAUCAGCAGCUUUUUUGUAUUUUCUCCCUAUUUUUCUGUUAUGUGAAACACACUCUGAGCUCCCUCAAGACAGUUUUGUUUACUGUAAACUACAGUAAUCAGUUUCAUCUUGUAGCAGUAGCAACUUAUGGAUGUGCAAAGGCAUAAAAUCUACAUGAAAAGUAGUUUAAACCAAUCUGCUUCAUUUAAAAAUGCUUUUUUUUGGUGCAGAUCAGUAAAAACAAAAACAAUGAGCCUUCUACAUGUGUAAGUGCAAGUGUGCAGGCAAACACACUCACAAUAGCCACAGAAGAAAAUGGGAGAUUACUAGAGAAGCUGAGCACUGCUGUAGCAUGUUUCUGCCUCCCAUGACCAUGGAAACUAGAUGGAAAAAUAAACCCUCUGUGGCUUCUGUGCCCUGCACAUGACAUUAGAGUGCCUCGAGGACCAACGGUAACAAUUUUGUCCUAGAUUGCACAAACGUUAAUGGAGGGUGAAAGAGGAUGUUCUUCUGUGGUUCCCAAAAUCACAGUGCAAUGCCGGGAAUAGUCAGAGGAGGGGUGGACGCGAGCGGACCAGAGAAGAGGCACACGCCACAGAUUACAUAAUGCGUCCCCACCCCUGUGCUGCCGUGGAGCAAAACAAAGGCACCCUGCCAUCAGAAACACAGCAACCGGGGCCACAGGAUGAGAGGGCAGAGCGUUUGUUUAUGUGCAUGUCUUUGAGAGAAAGGUACACCGAGAGGAGAGAGGUAUGUGUUUGUGUGUCUGGUCGUCUUACAUAUAAAUGACCACGUGAACGCCCUUGCCCUUCAACAAAGGAAUCAGGUAGGCUGUGUUUUCCUGGCAACGACAUUGGCGUGGUGUUCGUCCAAACAGAGAGGAUCCCGAAGCUUUCCCUCAGAGUUACCACGGCUCAACCUCACAGCUUCCUCAAGUAAAUGGCUAUGUUAUUGCAAACCAAUUUGAGAUAAUAAAUGCUUAUUUUAGUGGUUAGAAGAUUUGGAGGUAGAUUUUUGCUAGCAUAUGGUUCAUUGUUUGCACAGCUUGAUACAUAUGUCUUGUAUUAGACCGCACUGGCAAACCGAGGCAUAAGUGAUUACUGCCCAACAAAAAUCUUAUUAGUGGUUGCGUAUGGUAGGAGACCAGAGUGUAAGCUGCUAUAGAUCAGAUUGUACUUCUUACAUAACAAGCCACAAAACAAGACCCCUCAUCCUGAUUGAAUGACACCCAUGAAGUCAAGCUCUGAAGCAUGGAAAAGAACAGGAAACACCAGCGCAAAUCAGUAGAAAGGGACAAGGCAAAAAAGGACAAAAAAAAUAUUCCAUCCACAGUGCCCGAGUUAUUAAGACAGCAGGGAAUGAUUAUAGGGUCAUUCAUAUUUCCCUCAUUAUGGCUGUUGGGGUUGCUGAGGUGGUCUGGGUGAUGGCUACAUAUUUCAUCUGAAAUCUGUGUAAUUGUCCUGUGACCACGGGAAAACAAUAAAAGGAAUGUACACAGAUGUUGCAUGUUGCCAGUGACAAAAACCAGAGAACAUUGUGGAACAUGACCAUGAAAUUUGAGGGCAGGGAGAGAAAACACAGUUUGAGGGUACUAAACACAAAAGGCCCCACUUAUAACUAAACUGUUUACAAGUGUGGUCUUAAACAAAAACUGAAAAAAAUCCAUCAUUUGUUGAAUGCUCAAACUCCUACUUAAGAAUACUGUACUGUACAUACUGCAGACAAGCAGAGUUAAAGCUCCUUCCAACCAAUAAAUGACAAAAAAAUUACCAAGAAUCUGCAAAGCACAUUGAACCACUUGCCUAAGAAGCUUGAUAUGCUUAAGUAGGCUGUCUCGUAAGCAAAAAGCAUGUCAAGUAUCUGACAGUCUUCAAUAAUUUAGUAGAAUAUGAGAAUACACUUUUAAUGUAACUUAAACAUAUGGUUGUGAUAUGACUGCAUCUUAACUCAAAUCACAAAAUAAAUUGAUCUGUUAAGUGUGACACUGUUAAAAAAACAUGUACGGUUUGUUUAGUCGUCUUCCCCUCCUUUAUCUACCUGAUUUCCCUGAUAACUCUCCUCAUACAGCACUGUUUGACAACAGCACUACAAAUGUGGGUCUCACAGCAGACAAAGCCAACAGGAUGGCAGUGAAAUGCAGAUCGAGGUUCACCCUCGGUCUCCAGGUGGCCAACUUGUGAACUUUGAUCUAUGCGACGAGAUAUCUAAGGAUAUGCGAGGAUCAGGCUGGGAGGGGCCGCAGUGGGUGGGUGCACGUCAAUUAGACAGGAGUUUGUGGGCGAGGGAGUCAGUCUCCUUGCCGGUCGCUGUCAUGACAACCUCGAAUCUUUAAUGCACCCCACGCAUCUUCCAGCCCACUCCUCUCUCUGCACCGUCAAGGACAAGUGGGAAAUGUGAUUAUUUGUGUCCCAAGGGCCAAAGUGACGUCACUGCACAGGAAACGUGCAUGAUCUUGAAUCCCACCUGAUGUGAAUUUACAACGCCAUCAGUUAUGGCCAAGGGGUUGCUCAGUGAGAGGGGAAGCCCAUCUCAACUCCAUUAAGGCGUCUGACAGACAAUUAUCAGUCAAGACGUGGCCGUAAUAGCCGCAGAUACAAGCAUAUGCUAAUGAGCUACAGCGCCUCUGGAAAAUGGGCCUAAUAAACCCAACUUCUGUGUGGAACUAGACCCCUGCCUGUCUAAUGAAUAACAAUACUACAUUACAGCAAAGUGCCAACUUCAACCCACAUGGAGCAGCAGCACAACUGCAACUCCCUGGCACUGGAUUCCCCCUGAGAGCCCCCUCUGCCUGUUGGCUGACAAAUGACCAUCAGGCUCCACACACCCUCCUCCCCUCACUGCCAGCUUGUAACACAUUCAUAUUUUGCUCAACAGCCUGCCCUGCUGGGCCUUAACAUGCCAAAUGGCGGCCAUCAACGGCAUAGUGGCAGCUUAUCGGAGUCCAUAUGCACUGCGUUCAUGUGCUUCAGAUGGCCCCGGCGGCUUGGCUCCAUUUAGCAUCAAAGAUAUAUGUUUGAGGGGGAAUGGACAAGUUGUUUUGCAAGAACAGCAUCUGUGAGGGUUGAGGUGUCAUCAGUAUGCGCGACACUACACCAGUAUACCAGCAACAAGCCUGAACAAUGCCAGUGGACCACAGCGUGUAGGCAGAUGGGCGUCCACAGGCGAUGAUGAUGGGCAAAUCCAUUUACAGCUAGUCACUUUAUUAUCCCAUAUUUAAUGUAUUAGGACAAAUGUUAUUGUGGGUGUUAAAGGUUAAAGUCAUUUGCCUGUUAAUGUGGAGCAAGCUCUCACUCUGCUGUGAUGGAUCUGGUUGAUAUAACAGUUCAGACAAACAUACAGUGAAUCAAGGACCAGCCAGGAGGAUUAGGUUUCAUGUUUGAAUGAUAGCAGGUUGAUGUCUCAGUGCACUGCCAGCUGGAUGUAGACUCCACUGAGUGGCAUACCAAACCAAUGCCGUGUUGAGAGGAGAGAGGAGAAAGAGAUGAGGAGAGGAGAGAUGCCUCAGCAGGCUGAAGAUGACGAGAUGGGAGUCGGCAGCUGCCCCCUUCUUCACAGUCACUGUGCGGGAGGGAGAUGGAGAUUAUGUAACUCGAGCACCUCCACCAGCCUGCUGUACACGCCCGGCUGUGUCCAAACAUACACACACACACACACACACAAAACAUCAAACACACCCUCGCAUUGGCUGAUACAAUCUUAGACCAAUCACUAACUGGCACAUUUUUCAAUAAACAAAAACAGACAAUGGGCAAAACCUAAAUGUAGAGCUGAAAUUAUAAGUCGAUUAAUCGGCAACUAUUUUGAUAAUUCAUGAAUUGUUUGUAAUUUUUCAAGCAUAAAUAGCAUACAUUCCUUGGAUUUGCUGCUUUUCUUUGUCUUAUGUGAUAGUGAAUUAAAAAUGUGGGGUUUCAGACUGCUGGUUGGACAAAAAUCACCUUGAGGGUGACCUGUGGGCUGACAUUGUAUAGACCUGCAGAUUAAUCAAUAAUGAAAAUAAUGGUUUCAAAUUGAUAGUGCAGUACUACUUAAAUGAAAACAAUACAUUAAAACUGAAGUGACUUGUUGGGUCAACAACAUUCUGAUUAUGUGGAUAAAUUGUUUAAGUUUUCAAGCAAAAAUCCAAUGCUUUAGUUUGUCUUAUAUAAUAGUAAGUUGAAUAUAUUUUGGUUUUGAACUGUUGCUCAGACAAAACAAGCAACCUGAAGAUGUCAUAUCAGGUUCUGGGAACUUGUGAUAAGAAAAGAUAUUUUCUAGCCCUAAGUAUUUGUCAGAUUAAUCAAUAGUAAAAACAACUAUUAGCCACAGUCACACACAAGGACAUUUUCCAACUCAAGAAACGGGCAGUUGGACACUUAAAUGCUGUUGGUAGAACUGAAAACUCUUCAAUAGAGCUGAUACGAUUAGUCAGGUUAUUGGUUACUCAAUCGACAAGCAAUUAAUCAACAUCAAAAUUGUUGCAGAUGAAAGUUAUUUUAAAAAUCUGCUGGUUCCAGCUUCUUAAAUGCAAAGAUUCCCUGCUGUACUUUGUCUUAUAUGACAGUAAAUUGAAUCUCUUUGGGUUUUGAACCGUUGUUCACACAACAAUAUAUUAAACAGUAUUUUGCAGAUUAAUCCUGAGCUGUUUUUUUUUUUGUUUUUUUCUCUGUUUUGUAUAACAUGUAAAAGCAACAAUAUUUCCUUUUCUUUGACUGUGAAUCUAAAUUAGUUUCACUCACUGAAAAAAAAUGCAUUCAGGCUUCAUAUGAUUAUAACUAUUAUUAAACAAGGACGUCUCCUCCUGUAAUAGUCACAACAACAGCUGGGAGAUGCAUGAGCUUUGCAGAAUUCACUGUCACCUGUAAGGGAAGUCUGUUGAUCUUAUCUCAGCUUUCUUCCUGUGGCCUGCGAAGGAGACGCAGCAUUACUGCAGCCCUCAGCAGCUGACCCAUGCAAUAAGUGGCCAUAAGGGUUACUGUCAGCAUCUGACACAUUCUUCAUUUUCACGGACACGCCCGAACGCAGAGACUCCCGACAGCCUUGAGGGAGAUGAACCGGUCUGAAAGCAGAGCUGAGACUGAAAGGCUCACAAAGAUGGCAACAGGAAGUACACUGUGCUCUCCCUUAGUAACCGUACACAGACGAUGAUGCAGAGCAGAGGAAUCCCGCGCACUGGGAGUGUCCCAUUACCCUGCAGUCUAUCAUCAUCAGCUGGCUAAGAGGGGAGCGCAAAGUGACUUUCCUCCCUCACAUUAGCCGCACUGGGAGCUGAAGUGGCUCGCUCUAUCAAAUCUAAUAAACACAAAAGGACAGAGAUAGAAUGAAGGGAAGAUGAAAGAUGGAGACAGAGGAGAGGGCGUAGACGUAGAGGUAGAGCUGGGUAUCGUGCCAACUGAAAUGUGUUCAUAGCAGUGCUUCAACAAAAAAAUUUAAGAAUCAAGGACCUUUUUCAGCAAUUUCGAUAACUGAUAAUCUGUUCACAUCAGCCUCCUAGUUGUAAUUCUGAGUCUGAGACAGCAACAGUAUCUCCCAGUUGGUGAAAAGAACUACAGAAGUGUCAACAAAUGACGGCAAAAUGGCAAAACAGUUAGUUUGCUGCUGGUUUCACCUGUUACUGAACAGCUCCAGAUAUGUAACCCAGAAAAAGUAAAUAAUUGAGACUAUUUAAAUGGUUUAAAAGGCUAGCAAUGAGGGUAACCAUCUUGCAAUAAUGUAUAAAUACUCUGGAGAUGUUCCUGUACUCUCUGUUCUACUGACAUUGUAUGAAUGAAUUAUUAAUCUUUUAUCAGAGAAAAAACAUUUGCUGGUUCCAGUUUCCGAUUGUGAGGUUUUCUGAUAGUUGGAAAAAACACCACUUUUGAAAAUGUCACCGUCGACUCUUGAUGGGAGUUUUUGGGGCUGCAACACAUUUUUUUCCAUUAUCAGUUAAUCUGCUGAUUAUUUUCUUAAUUUAUCAAUUAUUUGGUUUAUAAAAUGUUAAGUAAAUUAUAAAAGGAAUUUUUCAGUAUUUUGUAAGUCCAAGGUGAUGUCUUUAAAUGUCUAAAACCAACUAGAUAUUCAGCUUGAAAAGAUAUAAACCAGAAAAGUAGCAAAUCCUCACAAUGGAGAAACUAGAAUCAGCAAAUAUUUGGCGUAUUUGCUUGAUAAAUUUAUUUUAUCAACAAUUAAUCAAUUAUCAAAAUUGUUGGGGAUUCAUUUUAUGUCAAUCAACUAAUAGAUUAAUCAAGUAAUCAUUGUUGCUUUUAGUCCACAACACUGUCAAAAACUAGAGUAUCCAAAGCUGGCACUGAACAUCUUGUCAGAUUUGUGAUCUUGUUUAUUUAUUAUUUGGUUAGAUAGUUUCUGAUUUAAAUAAAAACUUAUUUUGUA